rnacentral:rRNA from 1 species
GACGAACGCUGGCGGCGUGCCUAAUACAUGCAAGUCGAGCGGACAGAUGGGAGCUUGCUCCCGGAAGUCAGCGGCGGACGGGUGAGUAACACGUGGGCAACCUGCCUGUAAGACUGGGAUAACUUCGGGAAACCGGAGCUAAUACCGGAUACGUUCUUUUCUCGCAUGAGAGAAGAUGGAAAGAUGGUUUCGGCUAUCACUUACAGAUGGGCCCGCGGCGCAUUAGCUAGUUGGUGAGGUAAUGGCUCACCAAGGCAACGAUGCGUAGCCGACCUGAGAGGGGGAUCGGCCACGCUGGGACUGAGACACGGCCCAGACUCCUACGGGAGGCAGCAGUAGGGAAUCUUCCGCAAUGGACGAAAGUCUGACGGAGCAACGCCGCGUGAACGAUGAAGGCCUUCGGGUCGUAAAGUUCUGUUGUUAGGGAAGAACAAGUACCAGAGUAACUGCUGGUACCUUGACGGUACCUAACCAGAAAGCCACGGCUAACUACGUGCCAGCCGCCGCCGUAA